GACGAACCGUACGAACGUUAUUCGGAAUCACUGGGCUUAAAGGGUGCGUAGGCGGCGCGACAAGUUGGGGUGUGAAAUCCCUCGGCUCAACCGAGGAACUGCGCCCAAAACUGUCGUGCUCGAGGGAGACAGAGGUGAGCGGAACUUAGGGUGGAGCGGUGAAAUGCGUUGAUAUCCUAAGGAACACCGGUGGCGAAAGCGGCUCACUGGGUCUCUUCUGACGCUGAGGCACGAAAAGCUAGGGUAGCGAACGGG
rnacentral:rRNA from 1 species